rnacentral:lncRNA from 1 species
AUGUUCUCACUGAGACUGUUGUUGAGAUAUUCCUGUCAAGGCUGUUUUCCUUGCUUUCCUCAGAGCAGCUUCUCACAGCCCCAGAAUGUCCCUGAUCCUUCGAGAUGUGUCACUGGAGGAGUCUCCUCACUCCAAUCCCAGCUCACUCAUCUCUCUCAGAUUCUCCUUCUGCUAACGAUUCCUGGUGCUGGAAUUGUUGAUCCUGGUGGGUUCUUUCCCACCUGGGAUAAUCCACGGCUCCGUGGUUUGCUCUGCUCAGCCCCGUGGAACAAACAUUCCCAAGCCACAGCGGUGAAGGGAGGAAAUCAGCAGGCUAUGGAGCACAUCUUUCCUUCUGGAUGCUGUCAGCUGUGUUGGGAAUGUCUUCAGAGUUGGGAUUUGGACCUGGACCUCCCUCCAUCCCUGGGUGUGUAA